rnacentral:rRNA from 1 species
CCUACGGGAGGCAGCAGUGGGGAAUAUUGGGCAAUGGAGGAAACUCUGACCCAGCGACGCCGCGUGCGGGAUGAAGGCCUUCGGGUUGUAAACCGCUUUCAGUAGGGAAGAAGCGAAAGUGACGGUACCUACAAAAGAAGCACCGGCUAACUAUGUGCCAGCAGCCGCGGUAAUACAUAGGGUGCAAGCGUUGUCCGGAAUUAUUGGGCGUAAAGAGCUCGUAGGUCGUUUGUUACGUCGGAUGUGAAAACCUGAGGCUCAACCUCAGGCCUGCAUUCGAUACGGGCAAACUAGAGUUUGGUAGGGGAGACUGGAAUUCCUGGUGUAGCGGUGGAAUGCGCAGAUAUCAGGAGGAACACCAAUGGCGAAGGCAGGUCUCUGGGCCAAUACUGACACUGAGGAGCGAAAGUCUGGGGAGCGAACAGGAUUAGAUACCCUGGUAGUCCAGACCGUAAACGGUGGGCACUAGUUGUGGGAACCUUCCACGGUUUCUGCGACGCAGCUAACGCAUUAAGUGCCCCGCCUGGGGAGUACGAUCGCAAGAUUAAAACUCAAAGAUUAGACGGCUGAGAGNGCGACGACGACGACGAGGAGGAGG